UACAGAGGUCUCAAGCGUUGUUCGGAUUCAUUGGGCGUAAAGGGUGCGUAGGUGGCGGGGUAAGUCUGGUGUGAAAUCUCGGGGCUCAACCCUGAAACUGCACAGGAUACUGCCUUGCUCGAGUACUGGAGAGGAGAUUGGAAUUUACGGUGUAGCAGUGAAAUGCGUAGAUAUCGUAAGGAAGACCAGUGGCGAAGGCGAAUCUCUGGACAGUUACUGACACUGAGGCACGAAGGCCAGGGGAGCAAACGGG
rnacentral:rRNA from 1 species